GAUCGCCAUAAAAACCUAACACUGGAUGAAGGAAAGAUGGCAAUGCUGCAGAAGAAUGUGCCAUAGGAGCCCGAGCCUUCAGUACACAUGACUACGUUGUUGCUUCAGAAUCUGCUGGAGUCUGGUUUGUUUGCUUUGGAAGAAAGCAAGCUGCAAAUCCUAACCCAAGAAUGCUUAGGAAGAAGGAUAGAAGCAGAAACAGGAGAGAAUGGAGAGACUCUUUAAGAUGAAGAAAGAAUGUUGGCCUUCAGCGUGUUCUUCAAGUAAAGACCCAUGCCCAGCACUCUUGAAGCAUGUUGGGGAGGAGCUUGGAGAGGAAUAACUAUGUGCAUAGAGUAAAUUGCACAGGAAACUUCUCUGAUUGAAUAUUGGAGGUCAUCUUUCGAUCCUUCUGGAAAAAGAGGAUAAUAGCAGUGACAACAACAAUAA
rnacentral:lncRNA from 1 species